AUAUAUUCUAUAUAAUAGGAAUUAUUUUCAACCCUUAAAUUAUGAAGAUUUAAGAUGGAUUUAUGACUUUGUUGAAUGAAUUCGUGGUUCAGGGUUCAAAUUCCAUUGAUAGUGAAAAUUUCAUUUUCUUAAAUUCAUUACUUUUCAAAAUAAAUUUAUUUCCUUUAGUUGUUUCAUCUUAUUUUGUUUGCACACACAACAUUUGCACACAUUGGUUUAUCACAAAAACUUAUGUCCGGUGGCUGGAAAGAUACGGCCAGGUCAUGGGUUGACCCAACAUGCUUUUUUGACUCGAUACAUAUAUAUCUUUUCAAUCCUUUCAACUUGUUUCUAUUCAUUCAACCCUUCGUCUGUGCCGAAAAUUUGUCUUCAACCCUUCCUUUGUGCUGUGCUCAAAACCCUCAUCGUCUUCAGCUUCAUAUACGCCUCAAUCUUGUGCUUCAUCUCCGGCCAUUCCUCUGUGCUUUUUGUGUAUGUCUUAUUUAACCCCUUCGUCCUGCGUCGACGUUCACAACAAAACCCUUUUCUCAUGUGUCGAGUUUACGCCGUUCAUCGUCUCCGGCUGCGCCUCUGCCUUUUGUUCCUUGUGGUCCGAUCUCAUACACAUUCCGAUACUUCCUGCUACAGAGCAGAGUGAUGAAGAUGCUUCAUGUCCUUCUCCAAUUAGCGGGAAAGAACUUAUGGUUUCUAUGAGAAAGAAUAAUCCUAGUCCGCAAAAGGGGAAAAGAAAAGCAGAGGGUAAUACUAGUGAGCACAAAAGGAAAAAGAAAAGCAAAAUGGCACAAGAAACUCAUUCAUCAUCAGCCCCUAUCAUUAAAUGUAGACCUGCUAGUUUGUGUCAGGUCAUUGAUAAUUUGAAUGAAGUACAGCGAGAAGCUGUUAAGUCUAUAGGGUUUGGGGGUUUGUUAGCUAUGCAUGAUUUGAAAUAUAUACCAUGGGGUAAAAUGAAUUGGUUUUAUACAAAUUUCAAUCCAACUAGUAGGGUUUUAAGCUUUUCAAACAGUAAAACAAUUGUUUUGACUGUUGAUGAUGUUCAGGAUGUGUUCUUGUUACCUAGGAAUGAUGGUAACAAUGUUUUACUUUUUGAUAAGGAUGAUAAGCGUGCAAUUGAAUGUCUUGAUGAGUUUAAAAAUAGAUGUGGUCUAACCUCUUUUUGUCAUUCAAAGGCAUUUGAACUUCUUAGAGGGAGUUCAUUUGCUGAUGGCGGGGAUGAUUUUAAGAGGUUAUUUGUGUUGUAUAGUUUGUCAAUUUUUUUGACCCCUACUUUGAAUCAAGUAAUUGACCUAUCGACAUUUAGGUCAUUAGUUGAUGUUGAUAGGAUUUCUACCUUGGAUUGGUCUAAAUAUGUCCUUGAAAAGUUGUGUACUGCUUUAAAGUCUUAUCCAAUGAGGUAUGUUGGUGGGUGUCUUCUUAUCAUCCCACUUCUGUAUUUGCAUCGACUUAUGUGGUUGGGGGUAGCGGAGCCAUCCACAUUGCCUUUAAUCCAACAUUGGACUUCAAAGAAAUUGAAAGAUAGGUUAGAGGCUUAGUGUUCAGCAGGUAGUGUUUUUGGGGUUGGAAACUGGGUAGAUAGUGCAUUGUAUCCCGUGAGUGCAAAACCCAAAUCCCAAGAGACGAAAGCUAGUGAUGCUGCUCGUGAUUAUGUUGUUCAUGAAGAAGAUGGGCAGUUUAUCAUGUACAAGCUGCCUGUUAAUGAGAAGUCUGAUUUGGAAAUUAGAAAAAUGGCAAAAGAUCGCCUGCAUGAAUCCUUUUUGUUGUUACAAAGGGAUUUGAGUGUUAUCACUCACAUGCAUUUGGAAAGAUUGCGCAAGUUGAGGAAAAAUGAUGAGGAUAUUGAUAUAUUCAAUGCUUCAGAAUUUCAUAGAUACAUUGAUCAGCUUGUUGAACAAUUUCAGAAUAUGAAAAGAUCUUCAAAGCAGUCAGUUUGCAAGAAGGUUAAAGGAGAAGAAUCAGGAGAAGGAGAAAGAUGGAGUUGAAUUUGUAGGUUGACUCUUGUCUGUUCAUUUCAAUUAUUUACUAAACAUAUGAUCAUUUGUUAGUUUUAAUUCUUCAUUAUUUUGUAGGAGAAUGUCAUAUGAUGAAUCUUAAUGAUGAAGUAGAUGAGUUAGUUGCUAGAGAAAUGUCAUAUGAGCUCAAGAAAAGAACAAAAAGAAUAAGUAUUCAUAGAUGAGGAUAUUGACUUUGGCAGUUGCUAAAUGUGAAUUUUAUGAUAUUGCCUUGAUUUGUGCCUUACUGAGACAUUAUUUUUAUUA